UACGGGGGGGGAAAGCGUUGUUCGGAAUUACUGGGCGUAAAGGGCUCGUAGGCGGCCAACUAAGUCAGACGUGAAAUCCCUCGGCUUAACCGGGGAACUGCGUCUGAUACUGGAUGGCUUGAGUUUGGGAGAGGGAUGCGGAAUUCCAGGUGUAGCGGUGAAAUGCGUAGAUAUCUGGAGGAACUCCGGUGGCGAAGUCCUCCUCCUGGACCCACACUGACGCUGAGUGAGCUCCAUCCAGGGGAGCCCUCUGG
rnacentral:rRNA from 1 species